UAAUUGAAGAGUUUGAUCAUGGCUCAGAGUGAACGUUGGCGGCAGGCUUAAUACAUGCGAGUCGAACGGUAACAGGAAGGAAGCUUGCUUCCUUUGCUGACGAGUGGCGGACGGGUGAGUAAUGCCUGGGAAUCUGCCUGAUAGUGGGGGACAACAGUUGGAAACGACUGCUAAUACCGCAUGCUCCCGAAAGGGGAAAG
rnacentral:rRNA from 1 species